rnacentral:rRNA from 1 species
UACGAAGGGGGCUAGCGUUGUUCGGAAUUACUGGGCGUAAAGCGUGCGCAGGCGGCUUCUCAAGUCAGGGGUGAAAGCCCAGAGCUCAACUCUGGAAUUGCCUUUGAGACUGAGUGGCUUGAGUACGAGAGAGGUGAGUGGAAUUCCCAGUGUAGAGGUGAAAUUCGUAGAUAUUCGGAAGAACACCAGUGGCGAAGGCGACUCGCUGGACAAGUAUUGACGCUGAGGUGCGAAAGCGUGGGGAGCAAACAGG